AUGGCUGCAGUUUAAAAAAAUAAUAACAAAAAGUCUGCAUUGAUUUUGAGAUGUUGUCUGCAACAAAUAUACAUUAAGUAUACUUAACUGAAUUAGAUACCUUGACUUAGACCAUCAGUGCUCACAUCAAGUCCAUUCAGGUUAAUUGGAAGAUGAUCUCGGACUGAAAAGAACUUGGUAUCACUGGCUUGAACCUUAUCAUUUAGAACAGUACACGGUGACUGAGAGAUGUGCUUCCUGCUGUGUUACUGACAGAUUGCGGCCCUGUGACAUCGCCACAGUUGCACUUCACGGUUUGCUGCCGAAACACAGGGCCAGUGUGGAAGGAUAUUACUACCAGAAACCUUCAAAGGCUUUUGUUGAGCUGACAAAGCAGACAUGUUGGUAAUUGAGGCAGACCUGGCACUGAAAGGUCAAUUCACCACUGGGAUGAAAUGUACACAGACCUUCCAAAUAGGCAACUCAAAAUAAAGGUGGCAGACAGGAGAGUUAUUGACAUCACAGAUGCAGAGAGGUGUGCAGUUAUCCCACAAGGGCUCCAGGGAGCAAUCGAUGCUAGCGAAGAAGUACAGUCUGCCCAGGGCCUUCGUCCAGGUGUACUCUGGUAGGGGAGUCUUAGGCUAAUGAACAUGGGAUUUUCUUCUGUAUAUAUAAUGUAUAAUAAAUAAUUAUAACACUGUGUAUGCUACUAUUGGAAGUGUAGUAAUUGUAGAGCAAUACUCCUUGUGUAUUUCUAAGCCCCUGUAGUAACUGGCUGGGCACACUUCCUGCAUAUUGUACAAUUUUAUGGAUUCAUUUAGGGAUAUAUGCAUUAAAAGGACGUGAUGUAUUUUAGGAUAUGGAACAAAAUGUUUGAAAUAAUGUUAAGGAACGAUUUCUUCUUCAGAAUUCCAUUCUGUGCAGUACUGUACUAUUUGUUUAAUUCGGUAUAAACCAUGUUGAGAACAGCGCUUUUAGAUUGUCUUUGUAAGUUAUGAUCGUGACUUCUUCGUGUAUUCAUUUGCAUAUCUGUAUGUCACGGCAGUUCUACUUUUGUAAUCUCUUGGAGCUAGAUAAACACGAAUAACUUAUACAUUGCAGGCAAUCAAAGCCAGUCCAGCAGGUAUUUUUGCUCUGGUCCAUGCCCACAAAGUUUGCUGACAAAAUAAUAACAGUACACUUCACUGUGGAUAUCUUUACUAAAGCCCACUAACUGUUGCCAAGGUCACCUACUGCCUGCAGCAGAGGGGAUUCAUGUUUGAGUAGUACUGUUUAAAUAAGGGAUCAAUAUAAUGGACAUGAAUGGAAAGUUGUACUGUUGAGAUAUGGGUCUAUAUUUCCAAGUAGCAGGCACUGGGACACUGAUCGUCAACAUUUAUUUUGCAGCAUCAUUUCAGUUUAGAAACGUGGAGAUUACAAAAGGGUUCAUUCGCAAAGACUCCGAUCAGAUGCUAGCCAGCUGGUGCUAUCGACUUGCAGCUAUGUUGGCUCUUCCCACUCACAAGUUGCUCCAGUGAUCAAGUGUUCUGGCUAGCUGCUGGUGUCGUGGCGGUUUUCAUGAGAGGCGAUCCCAUUGCACU